rnacentral:rRNA from 1 species
UACGUAGGGGGCAAGCGUUGUCCGGAUUUAUUGGGCGUAAAGAGCGUGUAGGCGGCCAGACAGGUCCGUUGUGAAAACUAGAGGCUUAACCUCUAGACGUCGAUGGAAACCGUUUGGCUAGAGUCCGGAAGAGGAGAAUGGAAUUCCUGGUGUAGCGGUGAAAUGCGCAGAUAUCAGGAAGAACACCCAUGGCUAAGGCGGUUCUCUAGUACGGUACUGACGCUGAGACGCGAAAGCGUGGGGAGCGAACAGG